CGGAGGCAGCGCCCGCCCGCGCCGUCCUUUGUGUGGCGGCGGCGGCGGCGCCUGGGCCCGCCCGCCCUCCGGGGCCCGGCUCCGCGCCGCCCUCCGCCCCGCCCGGCCGCCCGGCCUCCCGGCAAGAUGGCAACCCCGGCGGCGGUCAACCCUCCCGAAAUGGCUUCAGACAUCCCUGGAUCGGUGACAUUGCCUGUUGCCCCCAUGGCGGCCACGGGACAGGUGAGGAUGGCGGGAGCCAUGCCCGCCCGUGGAGGAAAGCGGCGUUCCGGGCUGGACUUUGACGACGAAGACGGAGAAGGACCCAGCAAAUUUUCCAGAGAGAACCACAGCGAGAUCGAGCGGCGGCGGAGGAACAAGAUGACCCAGUACAUCACGGAGCUGUCGGACAUGGUGCCCACGUGCAGCGCGCUGGCCCGGAAGCCGGACAAGCUGACCAUCCUCCGCAUGGCCGUGUCGCACAUGAAGUCCAUGAGGGGCACAGGGAACAAGUCCACAGACGGCGCCUACAAGCCGUCGUUCCUGACGGAGCAGGAGCUGAAGCACCUCAUCCUGGAAGCAGCCGAUGGCUUUCUGUUUGUAGUGGCGGCAGAGACGGGACGGGUCAUUUACGUGUCUGACUCCGUCACCCCCGUGCUGAACCAGCCCCAGUCAGAAUGGUUUGGGAGCACCCUGUAUGAGCAGGUGCACCCCGACGAUGUGGAGAAGCUGAGAGAGCAGCUGUGCACCUCCGAAAACUCCAUGACAGGCCGGAUCCUGGACCUGAAGACGGGGACGGUGAAGAAAGAGGGACAGCAGUCCUCCAUGAGGAUGUGCAUGGGCUCGCGGAGGUCCUUCAUUUGCAGGAUGAGGUGUGGGAACGCUCCUUUGGACCACCUGCCGCUGAACAGAAUAACCACCAUGAGGAAAAGGUUCAGGAACGGCCUUGGCCCCGUGAAAGACGGGGAGGCCCAGUACGCCGUGGUGCACUGCACGGGUUACAUCAAGGCGUGGCCCCCCGCAGGGAUGACUAUACCCGAGGAGGACGCGGACGUGGGGCAGGGCAGCAAGUACUGCCUCGUGGCCAUCGGAAGACUCCAGGUGACCAGCUCUCCCGUGUGCAUGGACAUGAGCGGGGUGUCGGUGCCCACGGAGUUCUUAUCCCGACACAGCUCUGAUGGGGUCAUCACGUUCGUGGACCCCCGGUGCAUCAGCGUGGUUGGCUACCAACCCCAGGAUCUCCUCGGAAAGGACAUUUUGGAAUUCUGCCACUCGGAGGAUCAGAGCCACCUGCGCGAGAGCUUCCAGCAGGUGGUCAAACUGAAGGGCCAGGUGCUGUCAGUCAUGUACCGGCUCCGCACCAAGAACCGGGAGUGGCUGUUGAUCCGCACCAGCAGCUUCACGUUCCAGAACCCCUACUCCGACGAGAUAGAGUACGUCAUCUGCACCAACACCAAUGUCAAGCAGCUCCAACAGCAGCAGGCAGAGUUGGAGGUGCACCAGAGAGAUGGGCUGUCGUCAUACGACCUGUCGCAGGUUCCUGUCCCCAACCUCCCGGCCGGCGUUCACGAGGCGGGGAAGUCCGUGGAGAAGGCCGAUGCCAUCUUCUCCCAGGAGAGAGACCCCCGGUUUGCUGAGAUGUUUGCAGGAAUCAGUGCGUCGGAGAAGAAGAUGAUGACCUCAGCCUCUGCGGCGGGAACCCAGCAGAUCUACUCCCAGGGAAGCCCGUUCCCCCCCGGACACUCGGGGAAGGCCUUCAGCUCUUCCGUGGUCCACGUGCCUGGUGUGAAUGACAUCCAGUCCUCCUCGUCAACGGGCCAGAACAUGUCCCAAAUCUCCCGACAGCUGAACCAGAGUCAGGUGGCGUGGACAGGGAGCCGGCCGCCCUUUCCCGGACAGCAAAUCCCCUCCCAGUCCGGCAAGACUCAGUCGUCUCCCUUUGGGAUUGGAACGAGCCACACGUACCCAGCAGACCCCUCUUCCUACAGCCCUCUCUCCAGCCCAGCUACGUCUUCGCCCAGCGGGAACGCCUACUCCAGUCUCGCCAGCAGGACUCCGGGGUUCGCUGAGAGCGGACAGAGCGGCGGGCAGUUCCAAGGGCGGCCCUCGGAGGUCUGGUCCCAGUGGCAGAGCCAGCACCACGGGCAGCAGAGCGGUGAGCAGCACCCCCACCAGCAGCCCGGUCAGACUGAAGUGUUCCAGGUCUCCAGAGGGGCAGCGUUCUGACCUCCUUCCUCCGUCCUUACGCCGCACAGCAGCUGCGUGGCGCAGAACUCCCCAACCUGGCUCUUCGUGGUCACGAGGCUAAAAAGAAUUCUUGGUCGAAUAAGCGCGUGAAACGCUGGUUAAGCAAAGUUGUGCGGUUUCUUGACCGAAGGACUUAUCAGAGGCUUUUAUUAUAUUAAUGAAGACUGAGGCUAUUUUAGGCGGUAGGCGGAGUGCGUAUGCCUUGUUCCCCACAACCACUCGUCCACACAGUCCUUUUCUCCCAGAGUGUCUCACGGGCCAAGAAUUUGAGAAAACACGCCUUGGGAAAUUUUCCACACGGGAUUGAAAUACUGGCUAUGCCCAUUGUCUGGAUGGGCACUCUGAGGCCGGCCGAACUUGAAGGGCCUGUUACAAGUGAAGCUUCAGGACGCAGGCAUUUGGCCCCGCCCCCGGAACACGCACAGCCUUGCUCCGGGCCCUGAUAGGUUCACCCCACCGAUGGGCUCCUGUGCGCCCUGCGUCCUGGCUUUACAUAAACGCGGGUUAUGUCCUGAGGCUCGGUUUACCUGCUGGGAUGACCCCGCCCCCCCAGGGAGUAGCGGCUUCCGGGUGUGGACAUCUGAGGCCCCCCUGAGACCCCUGGGCUGCCCCAAGGAAGGACAUGCUGCCCAUGCCCGGAGACCCGACCCAGGGGACCGGCAACUAUAACAUCGAGGACUUCGCGGACCUGGGCAUGUUCCCGCCCUUCUCCGAGUAGCGGCGGGCAGAGUGCGGCUGGCGCUGGGCGGCGUGGCUCCUGUCGUGACCGCGCCACCCACGCGGGCGGGGCCCCCCCGCACCCUGCUUGCCCCGCCCGCCCCGCCACGGUCCCCCCCAGCAGAAAGCGUCUCACCCCCGUGCUCCUCCCCUGCACAGCGCCUCUCCGCUCUGGCCCCCAGCCCGGGGCCACCGACCAGGAGCCCCGGUAGCCGUCGGGGGGCCCGUUGUAUUUAUUGUACUUUAUCUGUGUGUGCUUGGGAGGCGAGCCGACUGGGCGCCGGGAGUCUGGUUGUGAAUAAUCUCCUAGUAGACGGUUUUCGCCUAUAAAACGUUCACCUGUAGUCCAGAGUGAGUGUCCGGGGCCUGCCCAGGCCUCAGGAAUUGGGUUUCUUCCCGCCUUUAACCUCCGUGGGUGGGCGGACUCGGGUGCGGGGAAGGGAGGCCAGCAGGACGCCUGGCCUGUGUUCUCCGCGCUGGGGCCGAGCAGGCGGGGACCCAGGGCCGGACGCCAGCUCCCCUGCCCCCAGCUCAGCGGCGCCCCGACUGGAGCGAGGUUGGCCCGGGGUCCCGGUGCCCGGCUGCGGUCCCACAGCCUCGCCAGGAGUCCUGGCCGGGAGCCCACUGGCUUUAAUGCGCCGGGCUUCUGAGAGGAAGCGGCCCCCUCCUCUUCCAGGAGGCCCCGAGGACCUGGCUGCCUGGUGAGUGCACGCCCUCGUCCCCCCCUCCAGGCCAGCGCCUCCGGGGCUGCAGAGCCCUGGGCCUUAUGUGGAGGAGCGAGCGGGGAGGCGGGACGUCCAGGCCCCCUCGUCCGGUGCCCUGCCGUGCAGGCCUGCUCCCCCAGGACCGGCCCUGGCGGCCACGUGGCCUCAGUGACCUGGAGGGGGCUCGGGUGCGGACCCGCACGGGGGCAGGAACGCGUCCCACCAGGCCCCUGAGCCUUCUCUCCUCGGCCGGCUGGGGGGCCGUGGUGUCUGGGGAGGGACGGGGUGCAGGUCUGUGAGGCAGGAGGCUGGGGCUCCCGCUCCGAUUCUGCCACACUCGCCCCGGGGCCCCGAAUUCCUCAGGACGCGAAGAAGAGCCCGCUUCUGGAAACUUCUGCUGGCUGACCGAGCCGUGGUCCCUGGCUGGCUGCGUUUCCCCGUCUUCGCCGACCUCGCCCCCUCCCACGCCCUGUGCGCACAGAGGCAGGCUCUCUGAGCCUCUCCUGUCCUCUUCGUGACGGCCACGCCUGGCCCCGCCGUCCCAUGGGCCCCCUGACUCCCGCCCCCGGGAAAGCCCUGCGUCCCUCCCAGGGUCCCUCAGGCAGCCCUGCUCAGGCACUUGCCUCGGACACAACCCGCGUGUCCCUCCCCUGGGAUUCCGGAAGGCCAGGCCGAGUGGAGCAGGGUCUCGGCUGCCUGAGAGCAGAGCGGGCCCAGCGUGCAGGACGGGACCGGGAGCGGCGUCUGUGCUGGGCAUUACGUGCCAGCCCCGCCCGGUGUCCCUCAGGGAUCCGCGUGGCCUGUCUUGCUUGGAGAGCUUCACCUGUAACCGUCCAAUGUGGGUAGAAUGCCUUUGGCGAGCAGCCAGCUCUGGGUGAUCCUGGUUCCUGGACUCUGGGUUCGCACUCACUCAGCAGUUUCUAGAGCAGCUUUAACCCCUCCGUGUAUGGCGGUGAUUGAUGAUUGAGUGCCGGGUUUAGGCACACCGGGGUCAUUUUACCCUCCACACACCCUCACCGUGCCAGACCGGAGUGGGGGGCUUCCCAGGGCUCACCCUGCCCGGGGCCACCUCUGCCUCCAAGCCUGAGCCGACCCCGAGCCGUGUGUGUGUAAUGUUUUCUGAGAAAGGCACAAAAAGGGCUUUUGGAUCCAAGAGCGGUUGCUCUGUGAAACGAAAACAGACUUUUUUGUGGCCUUUAGCCUGUGAGUUUGGCAGAAUCGGGAAUUUCGGAUUUGUUCCUUCUGUUUUCUGGAGGGAACUAGGGGAUUCUCCGGGCUGCGCACGUCAGGGGGGCACGCCAGCUGUGACCUGGGGCCACGCUGGACGCGGAGGGGACGCGGGAGAGGCAGAGCAGCCUUGCCCCGGCGACCUUCCGUCCUCUUCUGUCCCCACACCAGGGCCUGGGUUGCAGACUGCCGCGGUCCGGGUCCCGGCAGGUGAGGCCAGAGGGGCCUGAAAGCCAGUGUCAUGCGGAAUGUCAUGACUCAGGAGGCACGGCCUCCCCCCCCCCCGCCCGGCCCCCCAUCCCGCAUCGUCCCAGGGGCGCCCACAGGGAGCCUGACUGCGGUCCGAUGGGCCGGCCUGAGCUCUGCGUCCUCUCUCCUCCACCUCCUGCUUUCUGGUUGUGAUUCUUGGAAGCCAUCAUGUGGCCAGUGGGAAAACAGGACUGGAAGGAUCUCAUGCCCCAGAGACUCUUCCCCCAAGGAAUCUUGAGGCCGGCCAGGGUAAGAGUCGAAGCCCUUACAGGGCCUCACUGUCCCGUUUGGGAACAGGCCCGCCCAGCCAGCAGGGGACCCUGCGAGGCCCCGGCCCAGACGCCUCUCCCGCGGCAGACGCGGCCCAGCCUGGGCUGGGGCUUCGGCCGUGACUCUCUCUGCCGCUCGCACCUCCUCUCCCCUGUGAGACCUUCCCGGGCUCCCCCACGGAGCGGGCCGGGCCGUGGCUGCCUGCGCCUUGCGGGAGGACACGAAGCAGCCAUGUCGAGGCUCAACCGGGACUUGGCUGGUGACUGUGGCCGUGGCUAGGGAGGUUCUAGAACACUACGGAUGUGUCACUAGGGAGCUGGUUUUGUUUCUAGCUAUGGUGUCAGGGAGUGACAGAGCCGUCACAGACGUCACGUUCCUCCUCUGCUUCCCGAUGUUUUCAAUCCAGCCCCUUUGCUGUUUUGUGAAUACUGUGCAGAGAGUUGGCGGGGGCGAGGCGGGGGGCGGUUCUCUUAGUCGGAACUUAACCAGGGAGUGUGGACUCCAGUAAAGAGACAGUGUCUCCCCCAUUUAGCCACAUGUGACACAAGGGAUGGGGCAGGUCCCAGGAAAGUGAGUGCCGGUCCCCGAGCGCAUCAGCACCUGGGGGCAGGGACCGCGACAGCCACUCCCCUGGCCCGCCUGCUCCCUGAUGGUUGUGACCCGUCUCCAAGCAAGACCGAGUCAGGGUCUUGCUGCCUCGCGGACGCUCUAGCGAGUCACGAGUCAGGACAGAAGUGCCAGAAACUACGAGUUUGGUCAGUACUUGCCAAGGGGGCCCGUUGUCUCCUCCCUCCGCCACAUCCCUGCCCCGCCUCAUGUACUAGGGGGCCACGAGCCACCUGGCUGUCCACCUGUUAUCGACGGCCGGGGGUCUGGGACAACGUGGAGAGGCAGCGCACCGCGGGGCAGGCACCUGUCCACUUCUAGAGUGCCUGGGUCUGGUGGCCAAAGCUAGUUCGGCGGUCCGGCCACCGGCCAGAGCCCGCGUGGGCGGCACCGACCGUGAAGACCAGGGCUCGCUGGGCCAGGCCUCUUCCUUCAUAGACGCUUCUCAGACGGGCGUCCGUGGACAAGUCGAGCACUUAAUCGUUUCUCUUGUAGCCUUUCUUCUUAUGGAUGUGAGCCGUGCUGUGGAUAAAUCAUCGUCUGUAUUUCUUGAAUGUUCUCUAUGACUAACGGUUAUUGAGUUGGUUGUGUAUAUGUAUAACUAAUGUAACUGCCUUUUAAAAUUUCGUUACAAUAAAAAUGACUUUGCUCUGAA